rnacentral:rRNA from 1 species
UACAGAGGGGGCAAGCGUUGUUCGGAAUUACUGGGCGUAAAGGGUGCGCAGGCCGCGCGGGCAGUCAAAUGUGUAAUCCAGGGGCUCAACCCCUGAACUGCGCUUGAUACUUCCGCGCUCGAGCUUUGGAGAGGAGUCUGGAAUUCUCGGUGUAGCAGUGAAAUGCGUGGAUAUCGAGAAGAACACUUAGGGCGAAGGCAAGACUCUGGACAAAUGCUGACGCUCAUGCACGAAGGCUAGGGUAGCGAACGGG